ACUCCUACGGGACGCAGCAGUGGGGGAUAUUGCACAAUGGGGGAAACCCUGAUGCAGCGACGCCGCGUGAGUGAAGAAGUAUUUCGGUACGUAAAGCUCUAUCAGCAGGGAAGAAAAAUGACGGUACCUGACUAAGAAGCCCCGGCUAACUACGUGCCAGCAGCCGCGGUAAUACGUAGGGGGCAAGCGUUAUCCGGAUUUACUGGGUGUAAAGGGAGCGUAGACGGCUGUGCAAGUCUGAAGUGAAAUGCCGGGGCCCACCCCCGGAACUGCUUUGGAACCUG
rnacentral:rRNA from 1 species